rnacentral:rRNA from 1 species
CCUACGGGAGGCAGCAGUGGGGAAUAUUGGUCAAUGGGCGUAAGCCUGAACCAGCCAAGUAGCGUGCAGGACGACGGCCCUAUGGGUUGUAAACUGCUUUCAUACGGGGAUAAAGUAUGCCACGUGUGGUUUAUUGCAGGUACCGUAUGAAUAAGGACCGGCUAAUUCCGUGCCAGCAGCCGCGGUAAU